GAACACUUCAGCAGUCAAGGACAUUCAGCCUUGGAUCUUCAGGAGAUAAAGUAUCUUUGGAACUAUGGAUUUUUCAAAAUGUGAUAGAAGCAAAGACUUUGAAUAUUUUAAGCAGUGAUCUUAUGAUGGAUGGAAGAUCGUUGCUGAAGCAGUUGAAGAAGGUUUUCUCUAGGAUACUGGUCCGAGGAACCCUGCAAUCAAGUCCCAGGAUCAUGACUGAUGAUUGACUAACAACUAUAACCUCUUACCUUGUGUUUACUAUGACUCCAACCAGUGGACAGUUUACCUAAUUCCCAUCGACAGUUUUUUCUAGGGUUUCUUGAUGCCAUACUCAGUUAAGAUUGGGAGAUGCCAGUGUUGGGCUGGUGUGUACAAAAUUAAAUCAUCACACUGAUCUUUCAUCAGGUGGUUGUGGUUGUGUGAUGUAAUUGAAAUUUAAUAUUGGUCUUUUUCAAUAUAUAAUUUCAGUUACAUCACACUGUAAAUUUUUGCUA